rnacentral:tRNA from 1 species
UAAGACCUAUAAGACCCUUCUUACAUCUUCUGAAUGCAACUCAGAUAUUUUAACUAAACUAACGUCUC